rnacentral:tRNA from 1 species
GAGGGUACUGCUCAGUGGUAGAGUGCAUGCUUAGCAUUCAGGAGGUCCUGGGUUCAUUCCCCAGUACCUACA